rnacentral:rRNA from 1 species
UACGGAGGGUGCAAGCGUUGCUCGGAAUUAUUGGGCGUAAAGGGUAGGUAGGUGGUCUCAUUUGUCUGGGGUGAAAGCCUUGAGCUUAACUCGAGAAGUGCCCCAGAAACGGUGAGACUGGAGUCCUGGAGAGGGUCGUGGAAUUCCCGGUGUAGCGGUGAAAUGCGUAGAGAUCGGGAGGAACACCAGAGGCGAAAGCGGCGACCUGGACAGGCACUGACACUCAACUAUGAAAGCGUGGGGAGCAAACAGG